GAUCAUGGCUCAGAUUGAACGCUGGCGGCAGGCCUAACACAUGCAAGUCGAGCGGAUGAAGAGAGCUUGCUCUCUGAUUCAGCGGCGGACGGGUGAGUAAUGGCCUAGGAAUCUGCCUGGUAGUGGGGGGACAACGUUUCGAAAGGAACGCUAAUACCGCAUACGUCCUACGGGAGAAAGCAGGGGACCUUCGGGCCUUGCGCUAUCAGAUGAGCCUAGGUCGGAUUAGCUAGUAGGUGAGGUAAUGGCUCACCUAGGCGACGAUCCGUAACUGGUCUGAGAGGAUGAUCAGUCACACUGGAACUGAGACACGGUCCAGACUCCUACGGGAGGCAGCAGUGGGGGAAUAUUGGACAAUGGGCGAAAGCCUGAUCCAGCAAUGCCGCGUGAGUGAUGAAGGCCUUCGGGUUGUAAAGCUCUUUUACUCGGGACGAUAAUGACGGUACCGAGAGAAUAAGCCCCGGCUAACUCCGUG
rnacentral:rRNA from 1 species